AUGUUCUGUCAAAAAGACUCAUUAUCAUACGUUGUGUGUCCUCGUUUUCUUGAUUUCCUGGAGCUCAAAUAUAGCAUAGGUGGUAAAAUUGAGCAACAAGCAAAGUACAUGGAAUUUAAAAAAAAUGUUCUUAAUCAGUGUCUUAUGUUUCAGGAGCUAGAGGGAGAGGACAUCCACGCAAUUCAUGGGCCUCCAAGGCUGUCAACAAUCCAGAUGAGGAACAUGUGGCCUUUGUUGUGUUGAUUGAUAUUAUGCAGAACCAAUCUGAAGACAGUGGCUUGCCAAGCCAACCUGCUGCUCCCCGUGAAUCUUGGAAGACCCCAUUCAGGAGAACUUUGGAUUGUUUUACAAAAUGCUUUGGGUGACAGCAAUGUCCCAAUCUCUAGCUCUCUUGAUUUCUCCCUUCCAAACUGUCUCCCCUUUCUGAUAAACCAGGAGAAUCCCUAGGUUUUCUAACUUUAAGGUUCUCCCAGGACCAGCUGACCUUCUUCUUUCCUUCAUAGGAAAGGAUAUAAUACAAACACAAAUUCCAUGAUUUGAGACCAUGUAUGUUACAAACACAGACCCUUAAAUAUAAAUAUUCCUCUACUACCACAUUCACCUAAUUUUUACCAUUAUUCUCUUGGUUGUUUUAUAAUAAUGCUGGCAUGCUUGCUUAUUUUUCCCUUCAUCAUAUUUGUAGCAUCUGUUUAAAAUAGGCAGCACCCUCAGGGAUGGAGGUUGUCAGGGUUGGUGGGAGUGGGGAAUUCACUAUAGGGAGAUACCACUUUACUUAGCCCUCUGAGGCUAUACCUCCACCAUCUAGGGGCACUACUGCUUGUUCCUGACUCAUUCAUGGAAUAGAAAACUGUGACCAGUAGGCAGUGAUUUAGUUUUUCAGGAUUCCCCCCCCCCCAUACACACACACACACAGACGUCAGUUCUCAUACUGAGUGGGACUAUUCCAUGAAGGGUUAAGAAGAAAUAAUACCUGUCUACUCAGCUAUCAAUCUUCAGCGCUAUCAUCUAUCUAUCUAUCUAUCUAUCUAUCUAUCUAUCUAUCUAUCAUCUAUCUAUCUCUAUAUGCCGACACCUCAUAUAUAAGGGAGAUGAGCAAUGAUUCAAAAGGAGCAGCGUUAGGAGAGAAGUUGCUUCAGGAUUCUAGAGAAAGUUUACCUUAAACUUUAUUAUUGUAAUGAACUCAUGACCAUCACCACUCCACUGUCAGACAGAAUCCCACCAACAACAUAUCACCCCCAACAUCAGGUUGUUCUUUCUUAUUUGGGAUUUUUUUUCUUCCUCAGCUUCUCUUGAAAGGUAACAGAACAUAACAUUCUCAAGGAAAGAAGAAAAGUUUUGAAGCAUAACUGACCUUAACUUGACAAACUUGGAGGAAGACUCCAGAGAAUUCAUUUGAGUAAUUUUCAAAAUAUUCUAGAGUGAAAAUGUAUUAUUACUUGCUACAUAAAAUUAUUAAAAGGCAUUUAACAACACUUAAUUAGAAGUCUAAGUGAACAUCACAACUUAAAAAAACUUUUAUCAAAGCCUAUGUCUCUCAACUCCACAAGAUAAAAAAGCCAAAACCAUAUGCCACCACAAUCGCAUAUAUAUAUAUAUAUAUAUAUGCCUGUUUUUAUGCCAAUGCCAUACUGUUUUGACUACCGUAGUAGUUAUACAGUUUAUAUAGUAGUGAUAUAGUUUCAAAUCAGGAAGUAUAAUGCUUCCAACCGAGACGUAUAAUGCUUCCAACUUUGUUUUACUUUCUCUAGAUUGCUUUGGCUAUUCAGGACAUUUUGUGAUUCUACAUAAAUUUUAGGAUUGCUUUUUCUAUUUCUAUAAAAAGCCAUUGGGAUUUUGAUACAGACUGGAUGAAUCUGUAGGUUCCUUUGGGCAGCAUGGACAUUUUAACAGUAUUAAAUCUUCUAAUCCAUGACUUCUUCAAUUUUUUCCAUCGACAUCUUAUGGUUUUCUGUGUGUUGGCUUUUUAACUCUGGAUCAAUUUGUUCCUUGGUAUUUUUGAUGCAAUCAUAUUUUGGAUUGUUUCCUUAAUUUCUCUUUCUGAUCAUUUGUUAUUAGUGUGUAGAGGUGCAAAAGAUUACUUUACUUUGAUUCUGUAUCCUGCAGCUUUUUUAAAAUUCAUUUUUUAAUUUUUUUUUGGUGGAGUCUCUAGAGUUCUCAUAUGGAAUAUCACAUCAUUUGCAAAUAAACAGUUCUACUUCUUCCCUUCCCAGUUUGGAUGCCUUCUGCUUAUUUUUUCUUGGCUAACUGCUUUGGUUAAGACUCCUAUUAUGAUAAUGAAUAAAAGGGGGUGAGAGCGAACAUCCUUGUCUUUUUAUGGUCUUAGAAAAUUGCUUUUAGCUUUUCACCAUUGAGCGUGAUGUUAGCUGUGUUCUUGUUAUAUAUGGCCUUCAUUAUGUUGAGACGUAUUCCCUCUAUAGUCACUUCGUUGAGAGUUGUUGCCAUGAAUGGAUGUUGCAUUAUGUCAAGUGCUUUUCCUGCAUCUAUUGGGAUGGUCAUGUGAUUUUUUAUACUUCAUUUUCUUUUCUCUUUUUUUAUUAAGAUUUUAUUUAUUUAUCCCUGAGAGACACAGAGAGAAGCAGAGAGAUAGACAGAGGGAGAAGUAGGCUCCUCACAGGGAGCCCGAUGGGGGACUUGGUCCCGGGCCCGGGAUCAUGCCCUGAGUCAAAGGCAGCCGCUCAACCACUCAGCCACCCAGGCGUCCCUAUACUUCAUUUUCCUAACAUUGUAUCAUAUUGAUUGACUUGUAGAUGCUGAACCAUCCGUGUAUUCCUAGUAUCAAUCCCUCUUGUUUGUGGUAUAUCAUUUCUAGUGUAUUACUGAGUUUGGUUUUCUAAUAUUUUGUUGAUGUAUUUUGCAUCUAUAUUCAUCAAAGAUAUUGGCCUAUAAUUUCCUUUACUUGCGUGUCCUUGUCUGGUUUUGGUGUUAGGAUCAUGCUUGAAUCAUAAAAUGAGUUUUGAAGUGCUCCCUCCUCUUCAAUUUUUUAGGAGUGUUAGGGAAGAAUUAGUUUAUUUCUUCUUGAAAUGCAUGGUAUAAUUUAUCAGUGAAGCCACCUGGCCCUGAACCUGUGUUUGUUGGUAGGUUUUUGACUACUGACUCAUUCUCUUUAGUAGAAAUUGGCCUAUUCAGAUUUUCUAUUACUUCAUGACUCUAUCUUGAUAGGUUGUAUGCUUUGAGAUUUUAAGCAUUUUGUCUAGAUUAUACAAUUUGUUGGUUUAUAAUAGUUCGUGGUGGUCUUGUGAUUCUUUUUAUUUGUGUGCUAACAUUUGUAACAUGUCUCGUUUUUCAUUCAGUAUUUUAUUUCUUGGAACCCUCUCUUUUCUUGGUGAGUCUAGCUAAAUGCUUUUCAAUUAUUUAGUCUUUUUAAAAUAUUAGCCCUAUGUUUAUUGAACUUUUCUAUUGUCUUUUAGUGUCUAUUUCAUUUGUAUCCACUCAUAUUUGAUAUUUCUUUAAUUCUAUAAGUUGUGAGCUUUGUUCUUCUUUCAUAGUUUCUUGAUGUUUAAUGUAGGUUGAUUUGGGGGGAUCCUUCUUAUUUUCCUAGUAUAUAUAUCUAUUGCUAAAAGGUUCCCUCUUAGAACUUGCUGAAUCCCCUCAGUUUUGGUAUGCUGUAUUUACACUUUCAUUUGUCUCAAGAUAUUUUUUAUUUCCCUUUUGAUUUCUGCUUUGACCUAUUGACCAUUCAUAAGCAUGUGGCUUAUUUUCCACAUAUUUGUGAAUUUUCCAGUUUCUAUCCUGUAAUUGUUUUCUAGUUUUUAUCAUUGUAUCCCAAAUAGAUGAUUGAUACAAUUUUAAUCUUUUAAAAUUUCUUAAGAUAUCCUUUUGAUCUAAUAUAUGAUGUAUCUUAGGAAUGUUCCAUAUGUGUUUGAUAAGAAUGUUCGUUCCGCUGCUGUUAUUUAGAAUGUUCCAUAAAUGUCUGUUAAGUCAAUUUGGUGUAAUGUAUAGUUUAAGUGCAUGUUCUGUAAUUGAUUUUCUGUCAGAUCUAUCCACUGUUAAAAGUAAGGUAUUAGCAUUCCCCCAAUAAUUGUAUGCUCUUCUAUUUCUCUCAUCAGUGCUGUUAAUAUUUGCAUUAUAUAUUUGUGUUCAUUUAUGUGCACAAAUAUUUACAUGUAUGACUUCUUGUUAGAUUGACCCAUUUAUCAUUAUAAGUGACCUUUAUUGUCUCUUGUUUUGUCUUUGGCUUACAAUCUAUUUUGUAUUAUAUAAAUAAAGUUAUCCCUGCUUCUUAUUGUUUUCCAUUUGCAUAGAAUAUUAGUCCUUCCUUUUGGUGUGUGUAUGUCCUUAAAGCUGAAGUGAGUCCCUUGUUAGAAACAUAUAGUUGGAUCAUGCCUUUUUAAAAUUCAUUCAGCCACUCUGGUUUUAGAG
rnacentral:lncRNA from 1 species